rnacentral:lncRNA from 1 species
ACCCGGUUGGCCGGUUCACCGUGUUAAAGAACGGUUACAUCCGGAGGGGAGAACUCCUGCUCCCCAACUGCCUCUACAUAUGUCACCGGAAACCACCUCCGGUGGUGGUGUGUACAAGCUAUCACUCACCUGCAAAACCACAAUCCGGUUUGCUUACAAGAGUAACAAGAAUAAGAAAAGAAUUCUAGAACCCCAGAAAUGAAACCUCCUCACUCUCUCUAGAUCUCCCACAUCUCUCUCUUUCUAUCAAAGAAUCAACAUUGAAGAAUCUUGAAGAAGCUCGUCUC